AUGGGCUGCGUGUCGUCGUCGCCGAGGCGGUCCAGGCGCGCGCCGGGGUACGAGGAGCCCGCCGUCCUCGCCUCCCAGACCUCCUUCACGGUGAACGAGGUGGAGGCGCUGUACGAGCUCUACAAGAAGCUCAGCUACUCCAUCUUCAAGGACGGCCUCAUCCACAAGGAGGAGUUCCAGCUCGCCCUCUUCAGGACCAGCAAAGGGCCGAGCCUGUUCGCGGACAGGGUGUUCGACCUCUUCGAUCUCAAGCGCAACGGCGUCAUCGAGUUCGGCGAGUUCGUGCGCUCGCUCAGCAUCUUCCACCCCAAAGCGCCUGAAUCGGACAAGACCGCGUUUGCAUUCAAGUUGUAUGAUUUGAGGGGGACAGGCUACAUCGAGAAAGAAGAGCUCCGGGAGAUGGUGGUAGCACUGCUCGACGAGUCCGACCUGUGCAUCUCCGAUAGCGCAGUCGAGGAGAUCGUUGACAAUACGUUCAGUCAAGCAGACUCGAAUGGCGAUGACAGGAUAGACCCCAAGGAGUGGGAGGAGUUCGUCAAGAAGAACCCAGCAUCGCUGAGGAACAUGUCACUGCCCUAUCUCCAGGACAUUACAACGGCGUUUCCGAGCUUUGUGAUGCAUUCGGAAGCCGACGAUUACAGCGGAAUCAGCAAAUAA
rnacentral:rRNA from 1 species